CGCCUCUUGACUAUAAUAAGAGGUCUAGCCUGCCCAGUGAUAAAUUCAACGGCCGCGGUACCCUAACCGUGCAAAGGUAGCAUAAUCACUUGUUCUCUAAAUAAGGACUUGUAUCAACGGCAUCACGAGGGUUACACUGUCUCCUCUCUCCAAUCAGUGAAACUGAUCUCCCCAUGAAAAAGUGGGGAUAACCUUAUAAGACGAGAAGACCCCAUGGAGCUUUAAACCCAAUAGCAAUUUAGUAACACUACCUUCCUAUAAUUUACAAAAUCAUGCUAGAGGCUUUAGGUUGGGAGGACCGCGGAGUAAAAACUAACCUCCGCAACGAAAAAGAUUUAAAUCUUUACCAAAGAGCCACUACUCCAAGGAUUAGAAAACUAACGUAAAGUGACCCGAUAACGAUCAACGAACCAAGUUACCCUGGGGAUAACAGCGCAAUCUACUUCAAGAGUUCAUAUCGACAAGUAGGCUUACGACCUCGAUGUUGGAUCAGGGUAUCCCAGUGGUGCAGCCGCUACUCAAGGUUCGUUUGUUCAACGAUUAAAACCCU
rnacentral:rRNA from 1 species